GCUUCGUCUUUUCCUUACUGCCCCUCAUUCAUCACUUUUUCUCUAGCAUGUUUUUGGCUCUGGUUUCAGAGUUUUACUUAGGUUUAAUGGUUCGCUUACGAAGUUUUUCGACAUCAGUGGUGAAGUUAUCGUCUCUAGUUCCAUGACGAGGUGGUGGGAGUGAUUUAUGGCGGUAGUAGUCGGCUUUAGGGUUUCCAUGGUGGAUUUGUCUUUCCCCUUUCAGAUCCACUUGUUGGGUUUUGUCGCACACAUUGAAGGAGAGAUGGCAUGGUUACCUAUGGACCAUCUUGUUUGUAGGUUCCUUAUGGUGGUGGUGGCGUUUUCGAGGUUGUUGGUUCAGGUGUCUUCUACGGCGUCGUGGAAAGCCGACCUCUUUGUAUCUUCAACUAGGUUGACGGAAGCUUCAUUGGACGUCUGCUUCCCGCUUCGGAACCGGAAUCGGAAUCGGAAUCACCGUUUUGAAAUCACCUUUCCAUUUUUUAAAACAUAAUGUCACAAAUCAGUAAAAAUAGAAAUUAUAUAUAGUUUUUAAUUUACA
rnacentral:lncRNA from 1 species